rnacentral:rRNA from 2 species
GUGCUUAACACAUGCAAGUCGAACGGAAAGGCCCUUCGGGGUACUCGAGUGGCGAACGGGUGAGUAACACGUGGGUGAUCUGCCCUGCACUUUGGGAUAAGCCUGGGAAACUGGGUCUAAUACCGAAUAUGACCAUGCACUUCCUGGUGUGUGGUGGAAAGCUUUUGCGGUGUGGGAUGGGCCCGCGGCCUAUCAGCUUGUUGGUGGGGUAAUGGCCUACCAAGGCGACGACGGGUAGCCGGCCUGAGAGGGUGACCGGCCACACUGGGACUGAGAUACGGCCCAGACUCCUACGGGAGGCAGCAGUGGGGAAUAUUGCACAAUGGGCGCAAGCCUGAUGCAGCGACGCCGCGUGAGGGAUGACGGCCUUCGGGUUGUAAACCUCUUUCAGCACAGACGAAGCGCAAGUGACGGUAUGUGCAGAAGAAGGACCGGCCAACUACGUGCCAGCAGCCGCGGUAAUACGUAGGGUCCGAGCGUUGUCCGGAAUUACUGGGCGUAAAGAGCUCGUAGGUGGUUUGUCGCGUUGUUCGUGAAAUC